rnacentral:rRNA from 1 species
ACCCGUUUAUCCUGCGGGAGGUUGCGGCUAUCAGAAUCCGGCUAAGGCAUGCAAGUCUACUCUGCUUUCGGGUGGGGUGGCGAACUGCUCAGUAACACGUCGAUAACCUGCCUUUGCGUCUGGCAUAACCUUGGGAAACUGAGGCUAAUACCGGAUAAGGAUUGGACACUGGAAUGUUCCAUUCUUUAAAGCUUCGGCGCGCAAAGAUGGGUCGGCGGCGGAUUAGGCUGUUGGUGAGGUAAUGGCUCACCAAAACCGAAGAUCCGUAAGGGCCUUGAGAGAGGUUGCCCUGAGAAGGACACUGAGAUACUGGUCCUAGCCCUAAGGGGUGCAGCAGCCGCGAAACCUUUACAAUGCACGCAAGUGUGAUAAGGGAUUCUGAGUGCUCAUACAUUGUAUGGGCUUUCCUCAAGAGUAAAGAUCUUGAGGAAUAAGUGGUGGGUAAGACCGGUGCCAGCCGCCGCGGUAAUCCCGGCGCCACGAGUCGCAAUCACGUUUAUUGGGUCUAAAGCAUCCGUAGCCGGUUUGCUAAAUUUCCUGUGAAAUUGUCAGGCUUAACUUGACACCGUGCAGGGAACACUAGCAGACUUGGGACCGGGAGAGGUAGAAGGUAUUCUGGGGGGAGCGGUAAAAUGUUAUAAUCCCCGGAGGACCGCCAAUGGCGAAGGCAUUCUACCAGAACGGAUCCGACGGUGAGGGAUGAAAGCUAGGGGAGCGAUCCGGAUUAGAUACCCGAGUAGUCCUAGCCGUAAACGCUGCCAGCCAGAUGUUGCAUGUUCUUCGGGAAUAUGCAGUGUCGAACCGAAGGGGUUAAGCUGGCCACCUGGGAAGUACGGUCGCAAGGCUGAAACUUAAAGGAAUUGGCGGGGGAGCACUACAAGGGGUGCGGCGUGCGGUUUAAUUGAAUUCAACGUCGAGAACCUCACCAGGGGCGACGGCACAGUGAAGGUCAGUCUGAAGGGCUUACCUGAGGAGCCGAGAGGUGUUGUAUGGUCACCGUCAGCUCGUGCCGUGAGGUGUCCUGUUAAGUCAGGCAACGAGCGAGACCUGUAUCUCUAGUUGCUAACGUGUCAUUCGUGAUGAGCGAGCACACUAGAGGGACUGCCUUCGAAAGGAGGAGGAAGGUGCAGGCUACGGUAGAUCUGUAUGGCCCGAAUCUCCUGGGCUACACGCGCGCAACAAUGGUAGGGACAAUGGGACGCGACUCCGAAAGGAGGAGCCAAACCUCGAAACCCUACCCUAGUUCAGAUUGAGGGUUGCAACUCACCCUCAUGACGCUGGAAUCCCUAGUAAUCAGACGUUAGCAUCGUCCGGUGAAUAUGUCCCUGCUCCUUGCACACACCGCCCGUCAAAUCAUCCGAGCAGGGUCUGGGUGAGUGCUGGCACUUCGUGUCAGUCCGAACCUAGGUUCAGUGAGGAGGGUUAAGUCGUCACAAGGUA